UUUACUGAGGGCCUUAGUUCAGGCUCUUGCUUUGUAUCCCAGGCUCUUUCUGUGCUUCCUAGACUCUUGCCUGGCUCGGAGACCUAUGCUGUUAAUGUGGGUACUCCUGCCCUGCUCCUUCCAGACUGUGAUUUCCCCGAGGUUGUGCCGGCUGAGUGGCAGGUACUAUUGCUAUCAGAGGGUUCAUGCAGAUGAGCAAACUACCCUGGAGUGAGCUCUUUCAACCUAGAGUAGCUUCUGGAUUGUCCUGCCAAUGGCCUCACUUUAAGAUGGAAGCUAAGAAGAGAGACACCAUAGGAUUGGACUGUGCUGGAGGUGAACUGGAAUGAAUGAGAAUUUCACUUGUUCUAAACAUUCUUCUUGUGAACAUUCUAAAGCAGAAGGAUCACUAUCUUUACAGGACACUACAGCAGCUCGGCCAAUGACUGGGAGGGAGGAAGCCUGCAAACUAGCAACAGCCAGUUAAGGCUGUAUUGUUGA